ACCUAACCAGAAAGCCACGGCUAACUACGUGCCAGCAGCCGCGGUAAUACGUAGGUGGCAAGCGUUGUCCGGAAUUAUUGGGCGUAAAGCGCGCGCAGGCGGUUCCUUAAGUCUGAUGUGAAAGCCCACGGCUCAACCGUGGAGGGUCAUUGGAAACUGGGGAACUUGAGUGCAGAAGAGGAAAGUGGAAUUCCAAGUGUAGCGGUGAAAUGCGUAGAGAUUUGGAGGAACACCAGUGGCGAAGGCGACUUUCUGGUCUGUAACUGACGCUGAGGCGCGAAAGCGUGGGGGAGCAAACAGGAUUAGAUACCCUGGUAGUCCACGCCGUAAACGAUGAGUGCUAAGUGUUAGAGGGUUUCCGCCCUUUAGUGCUGCAGCAAACGCAUUAAGCACUCCGCCUGGGGAGUACGACCGCAAGGUUGAAACUCAAAGGAAUUGACGGGGGCCCGCACAAGCGGUGGAGCAUGUGGUUUAAUUUGAAGCAACGCGAAGAACCUUACCAGGUCUUGACAUCCUCUGACAAUCCUAGAGAUAGGACUUUCCCCUUCGGGGGACAGAGUGACAGGUGGUGCAUGGUUGUCGUCAGCUCGUGUCGUGAGAUGUUGGGUUAAGUCCCGCAACGAGCGCAACCCUUGAUCUUAGUUGCCAGCAUUCAGUUGGGCACUCUAAGGUGACUGCCGGUGACAAACCGGAGGAAGGUGGGGAUGACGUCAAAUCAUCAUGCCCCUUAUGACCUGGGCUACACACGUGCUACAAUGGAUGGUACAAAGGGCUGCAAGACCGCGAGGUUUAGCCAAUCCCAUAAAACCAUUCUCAGUUCGGAUUGUAGGCUGCAACUCGCCUACAUGAAGCCGGAAUCGCUAGUAAUCGCGGAUCAGCAUGCCGC
rnacentral:rRNA from 2 species